rnacentral:rRNA from 1 species
UGGGGAAUAUUGGACAAUGGGCGAAAGCCUGAUCCAGCCAUGCCGCGUGUGUGAAGAAGGUCUUCGGAUUGUAAAGCACUUUAAGUUGGGAGGAAGGGCAGUAAGCGAAUACCUUGCUGUUUUGACGUUACCGACAGAAUAAGCACCGGCUAACUCUGUGCCAGCAGCCGCGGUAAUACAGAGGGUGCAAGCGUUAAUCGGAAUUACUGGGCGUAAAGCGCGCGUAGGUGGUUCGUUAAGUUGAAUGUGAAAGCCCCGGGCUCAACCUGGGAACUGCAUCCAAGACUGGCGAGCUAGAGUAGGGCGGAGGGUGGUGGAAUUUCCUGUGUAGCGGUGAGAUGCGUAGAUAUAGGAAGGAACACCAGUGGCGAAGGCGACCACCUGGGCUCAUACUGACACUGAGGUGCGAAAGCGUGGGGAGCAAACAGG